AUUUAAAUAGUAUAUUUAUUACAAUUAAUUUCCAAUUAAUAAAUUUAAUUAACAUUAAUUUAAAUA
rnacentral:tRNA from 1 species